rnacentral:lncRNA from 10 species
ACUCGGGGCCCCGGCCGCCGCUCCCGGCGCGGGUCUCGGGCGCGCCCUGCCCGGCGGGGAUGGAGGAAGGGGAGGCGGAGAGCGGUGGGAACCGAGGGCGGGGCGUGCGAGAACCCGGGGCGACCACGGCGGGACGGCAUUGGGGGGCCGGAGGCGGGCAUCGGGAAGCGGGUAGAGCGUUGGGGGCGCUGCAGUGGGAGCUUGGGGCGGCCCCCGGGGCGGGAUUGAGGGGGAGGGGAGGGGAGGCGUUGGCCGCCGGGCUAGCCGCCGGCGGGGCUCCAGGCCGGGACGGUCGGGGAUGGUUCCACAGAGGACCCAGCCGUCUGCCCCGAGCUGGGCGCUGCGCGGCUGCUCCGGGGGAAGCUUGGUGAGGAGGAGUCGGGCCAGCCGGUGAUGCCUGCGCCUCUUGCGCAUGCUGACCCCCUCAAGGAGCGGGGCCAGAGAAUCGCUCCUUUCUGGCAGGGACUGUGGCCGCUUUCGGCCUGGGAAUGAAGCGACGUAGCCUGCUGGGGCUGUGAGGUCUAUGCUAGCUUCAUGUGUCCACCGCCACAAUCAGGAUACUGGACAUUUCCAUCAGCACUGGACCCCUCCUGCUGCUGUUGCAUAGACACAGCCCAACCCAGGAACCCACUCAUCUGUUCUCCAUCUCUCAUUUUGUCUUUUUGAGGAUGCCAUUUACCUGGAAUCCUAUAGCAGUUUUGUUUCCAAAUGUGUAUGCACCAAACAACAGAGCCUCAAAAUCCAUGAAGCAAAUCUGAUAGAGCUGAAGAUGUAGACAAAUCUGCAAUUAUAGUGGAGGACUCAAAAUCUCUUUGUCAGAAGUUGAUAGAACUACUCUAAGAAAAUCAGCAGGGAUAUAGAAGAACUCAAUAAUACCAUUGACCUGGAGGGUCUGCUUGACACCGAUAGAACACUCCACCCAACAACAGCAGAACAUACAUUCUUUUCAAAUGCCCAUGGAACAUUUGCCAAGAUGGGACACACUAUACACUUCAAUGAAUUUAAAAGAAUCGAAGUCACAGGAUGCACUGUCUAACCUCAUGGUGGAAGAUGAGGACACCAAGCAUGAAGCUGGCCAGCCCCGUGGGGAGGCAGGUGGGACCAUCCAGUUGCAGGAAAACAAGCUUAACACGCC